rnacentral:rRNA from 1 species
UACGUAGGUGGCAAGCGUUGUCCGGAAUUAUUGGGCGUAAAGCGCGCGCAGGCGGUCCUUUAAGUCUGAUGUGAAAGCCCACGGCUCAACCGUGGAGGGUCAUUGGAAACUGGGGGACUUGAGUGCAGAAGAGGAAAGCGGAAUUCCACGUGUAGCGGUGAAAUGCGUAGAGAAUGUGGAGGAACACCAGUGGCGAAGGCGGCUUUCUGGUCUGUAACUGACGCUGAGGCGCGAAAGCGUGGGGAGCAAACAGGA